rnacentral:rRNA from 1 species
UACGUAGGUGGCAAGCGUUGUCCGGAAUUACUGGGCGUAAGGAGCGCGCAGGCGGCUGGUCAAGUCCGAUGUGAAAGCUCCCGGCUUAACUGGGAAAUUGCAUCGGAAACUGAUCGGCUUGAAGGUGGGAGAGGGUAGUGGAAUUCCCGGUGUAGUGGUGAAAUGCGUAGAUAUCGGGAGGAACACCAGUGGCGAAGGCGACUACCUGGCCCACUCUUGACGCUGAGGCGCGAAAGCUAGGGGAGCGAACGGG